UACACAAUAUGGCGGCGAUUAUGCGGAAAUGAAAUUGAAUGUUACUUCGAACACGUUCUUCUACAAAAUACCUGUGUUUAGUGCUUUUGUUUUAACAUCAAUCGAAGCAAAAAUGACAUCAAUGUAUGCGUCUAAAAAUGUGAAGAUGGAGACAAUCCAGAAAUGAGCUGCCAGGAAGUGAUCGAUUUCGGACACGAAGAUUGAGAAGAGCCUGGAUACAAGGCUAGUAUUGUUAACAUCAUCUGAUACAAUCAACUGGAACAAAGCUGAAAUGGCUGCCUGACCUGACUUAAAAAUUGGAUGGCAGUACAUCAAACUAGAAGAUUACAAGUAUUGAGGUGGACAAAAUGAAACCUGGGCCUACCAAAGCUGUCAGAUUGCACAAGAAACACAUAAAUGCAGAUUGGAAGAUUCAUUCUCUGGAAAGUAGAAAAGGGCAUGUUACAUACUGUUAUCACUGCCAUGACAGAAACCAUAUUGAGGAGCUGGUCCACCUGUAGGAAGAAUUGCGCUAUUGGUUGGAGCAGCACUAUUACCCAGCCAUACACCAGCACUUAGUUUGUCAUAGGGAGCAUUUCUGAGCAGUUAUGGAGACCACUAACUAUGCAGUUGUUGCAGUGAAACUUGCACCAGUGUGUUUUCUGUGGAGAUAAAGAGAUAGUGUCCAGCAAUGAAGACCCAACUCAAGAUCUGACCUUGUAAGGCCAAUAUGAAAUAACUGUGUGGGAAAAUGGGAAAAACCUGCAGUCAGGAAUGCACGGAAAUCAUCAAAAGAACAGUGUUAAAUUAAUCUUAGAUAACUUGACAUUUAUUUUGUUUGACAUAUUUAUUCAUGGUGCAGUGAAAACAUUCUUUUUUUCUCAUGGUUAUUUAAAUUUAGAAUUGAUAGGAGGGAACAUCACUAUGUAGUUUCAUGUUCAUAGUUAGAUCAAAACCCAUGUACAUGCCCAAAUGAGCAUUUGAAAAUAUCAAAAUGGUACUUGUUGUAUGAAGUGUAAGUUAAUUAACAUAAUAAACAAAAAUAUUUAAUCAAUUUCAAUUUAUUAUGCCCCUUUCAAAGAAGAGGAGUAUAUUGCUUUGCACAUGUUGGCCGCUACGUCCGUCUGUCUGACAGUAGACCAAAGCUUUUCCGGGUGAUAACUCUACAAUUCCUAGACCUAUUGUCAAACUU